GACGAACGCUGGCGGCGUGCUUAACACAUGCAAGUCGAACGGAAAGGCCCUGCUUUUGUGGGGUGCUCGAGUGGCGAACGGGUGAGUAACACGUGAGUAACCUGCCCUUGACUUUGGGAUAACUUCAGGAAACUGGGGCUAAUACCGGAUAGGAGCUCCUGCUGCAUGGUGGGGGUUGGAAAGUUUCGGCGGUUGGGGAUGGACUCGCGGCUUAUCAGCUUGUUGGUGGGGUAGUGGCUUACCAAGGCUUUGACGGGUAGCCGGCCUGAGAGGGUGACCGGCCACAUUGGGACUGAGAUACGGCCCAGACUCCAACAGGAGGCAGCAGUGGGGAAUAUUGCACAAUGGGCGGAAGCGUGAUGCAACAACGCCGCGUGCGGGAUGACGGCCUUCGGGUUGUAAACCGCUUUCGCCUGUGACGAAGCGUGAGUGACGGUAAUGGGUAAAGAAGCACCGGCUAACUACGUG
rnacentral:rRNA from 1 species